rnacentral:antisense_RNA from 1 species
CUUCACCGACCCCAGCCACAGCGGCCGGUCGCGGCCCUGCCCGUAGGCCGCCAGCAGCGCCUGCGCCUC